rnacentral:sRNA from 1 species
AGAGCGCUUCCCGGCAAGAGGCUUCAGACUUUUGCACGGAGUCGUAGGAU